rnacentral:RNase_P_RNA from 1 species
CGAGUCAGCUGGGCAAUCGCUGGUCCUAGUUCUUCUUUCGUCGCUUUGCGUCGUUCGAGGACGGGGUCGGAGGAAAGUCCGGGCUCCGCAGAGCAGGGUGCCAGGUAACGCCUGGGAGGCGCAAGCCUACGGCUAGUGCAGCAGAAAAUAUACCGCCAGAUCAAGCGUGAAGUCCUCAAGACCACUGUAAGGUGUGUGCUGAGAGACGUGUGAUUCGGUAAGGGUGAAAAGGUGCGGUAAGAGCGCACC